rnacentral:rRNA from 1 species
UGCGUACCUUUUGUAUAAUGGGUCAGCGACUUAUAUUCUGUAGCAAGGUUAACCGUAUAGGGGAGCCGGAGGGAAACCGAGUCUUAACCGGGCGUUAAGUUGCAGGGUAUAGACCCGAAACCCGGUGAUCUAGCCAUGGGCAGGUUGAAGGUUGGGUAACACUAACUGGAGGACCGAACCGACUAAUGUUGAAAAAUUAGCGGAUGACCUGUGGCUGGGGGUGAAAGGCCAAUCAAACCGGGAGAUAGCUGGUUCUCCCCGAAAGCUAUUUAGGUAGCGCCUCGUGAAUUCAUCUCCGGGGGUAGAGCACUGUUUCGGCUAGGGGGCCAUCCCGGCUUACCAACCCGAUGCAAACUGCGAAUACCGGAGAAUGUUAUCACGGGAGACACACGGCGGGUGCUAACGUCCGUCGUGAAGAGGGAAACAACCCAGACCGCCAGCUAAGGUCCCAAAGUCAUGGUUAAGUGGGAAACGAUGUGGGAAGGCCCAGACAGCCAGGAUGUUGGCUUAGAAGCAGCCAUCAUUUAAAGAAAGCGUAAUAGCUCACUGGUCGAGUCGGCCUGCGCGGAAGAUGUAACGGGGCUAAACCAUGCACCGAAGCUGCGGCAGCGAACGUAUCACCCAAGACAACUUUACGGAGUUGACGAUUGACGGAGCGAAGCGACGUCAAAGCGUUCAUUAAAGUCGAGUUGGCUUAGGGAUACGUUCGUUGGGUAGGGGAGCGUUCUGUAAGCCUGUGAAGGUGUGUCGUGAGGCAUGCUGGAGGUAUCAGAAGUGCGAAUGCUGACAUAAGUAACGAUAAAGCGGGUGAAAAGCCCGCUCGCCGGAAGACCAAGGGUUCCUGUCCAACGUUAAUCGGGGCAGGGUGAGUCGACCCCUAAGGCGAGGCCGAAAGGCGUAGUCGAUGGGAAACGGGUUAAUAUUCCCGUACUUGGUGUUACUGCGAAGGGGGGACGGAGAAGGCUAUGUUGGCCGGGCGACGGUUGUCCCGGUUUAAGCGUGUAGGUGUGUGUUCCAGGUAAAUCCGGUUCACUUUAACACUGAGGCGUGACGACGAGGCACUACGGUGCUGAAGCAACAAAUGCCCUGCUUCCAGGAAAAGCCUCUAAGCAUCAGGUAACACGAAAUCGUACCCCAAACCGACACAGGUGGUCAGGUAGAGAAUACCAAGGCGCUUGAGAGAACUCGGGUGAAGGAACUAGGCAAAAUGGUGCCGUAACUUCGGGAGAAGGCACGCUGACACGUAGGUGAAGUGAUUUACUCAUGGAGCUGAAGUCAGUCGAAGAUACCAGCUGGCUGCAACUGUUUAUUAAAAACACAGCACUGUGCAAACACGAAAGUGGACGUAUACGGUGUGACGCCUGCCCGGUGCCGGAA